rnacentral:rRNA from 1 species
GCCUAACACAUGCAAGUCGAGCGAUCCCUUCGGGGAUAGCGGCGGACGGGUGAGUAACGCGUGGGAACGUGCCCUUCUCUACGGAAUAGCCCAGGGAAACUUGGAUUAAUACCGUAUACGCCCUUCGGGGGAAAGAUUUAUCGGAGAAGGAUCGGCCCGCGUUGGAUUAGGUAGNUGGUGGGGUAAUGGCCUACCAAGCCGACGAUCCAUAGCUGGUUUGAGAGGAUGAUCAGCCACACUGGGACUGAGACACGGCCCAGACUCCUACGGGAGGCAGCAGUGGGGAAUCUUAGACAAUGGGCGCAAGCCUGAUCUAGCCAUGCCGCGUGAGUGAUGAAGGCCUUAGGGUCGUAAAGCUCUUUCGCCUGUGAAGAUAAUGACUGUAGCAGGUAAAGAAACCCCGGCUAACUCCGUGCCAGCAGCCGCGGUA